rnacentral:rRNA from 1 species
AGAGUUUGAUCCUGGCUCAGGACGAACGCUGGCGGCGUGCCUAAUACAUGCAAGUAGAACGCUGAAGAGAGGAGCUUGCUCUUCUUGGAUGAGUUGCGAACGGGUGAGUAACGCGUAGGUAACCUGCCUUGUAGCGGGGGAUAACUAUUGGAAACGAUAGCUAAUACCGCAUAACAAUGGAUGACACAUGUCAUUUAUUUGAAAGGGGCAAUUGCUCCACUACAAGAUGGACCUGCGUUGUAUUAGCUAGUAGGUGAGGUAACGGCUCACCUAGGCGACGAUACAUAGCCGACCUGAGAGGGUGAUCGGCCACACUGGGACUGAGACACGGCCCAGACUCCUACGGGAGGCAGCAGUAGGGAAUCUUCGGCAAUGGGGGCAACCCUGACCGAGCAACGCCGCGUGAGUGAAGAAGGUUUUCGGAUCGUAAAGCUCUGUUGUAAGUCAAGAACGAGUGUGAGAGUGGAAAAUUCACACUGUGACGGUAGCUUACCAGAAAGGGACGGCUAACUACGUGCCAGCAGCCGCGGUAAUACGUAGGUCCCGAGCGUUGUCCGGAUUUAUUGGGCGUAAAGCGAGCGCAGGCGGUUUGAUAAGUCUGAAGUUAAAGGCUGUGGCUCAACCAUAGUUCGCUUUGGAAACUGUCAAACUUGAGUGCAGAAGGGGAGAGUGGAAUUCCAUGUGUAGCGGUGAAAUGCGUAGAUAUAUGGAGGAACACCAGUGGCGAAGGCGGUCGCCUGGUCUGUAACUGACACUGAUGCACGAAAGCGUGGGGAGCAAAUAGGAUUAGAUACCCUAGUAGUCCACGCCGUAAACGAUGAGUACUAAGUGUUGGGAGUCAAAUUUCAGUGCUGCAGUUAACGCAAUAAGUACUCCGCCUGAGUAGUACGUUCGCAAGAAUGAAACUCAAAGGAAUUGACGGG